AAAAUUAGUGCUUCAGCUACUAGACAAUUUGGAGCGACCAAACCAAUUUUCCUAAAAAUAGGACUUCCGCCAUAUGUCAGUUUGACUCGGCAGAAUUUUGGUAAUGGAUUCGGGAACACAGUCAGAUGAACCACAAGGGUGUAAAGAUUAGCCAAUUAGUGUACUGCAAAAUAUAUAUAUAUAUGUGUUUUGCUGCUAUUUCUUUCAGCAAUCAAGUGGAGAAAAGUAACCAAAGGAGGA